GGGGGAUAACAGUUGGAAACGACUGCUAAUACCGCAUAAGCGCACAGGAUCACAUGAUCUGGUGUGAAAAACUCCGGUGGUAUGAGAUGGACCCGCGUCUGAUUAGCCAGUUGGCAGGGUAACGGCCUACCAAAGCGACGAUCAGUAGCCGACCUGAGAGGGUGACCGGCCACAUUGGGACUGAGACACGGCCCAAACUCCUACGGGAGGCAGCAGUGGGGAAUAUUGCACAAUGGGGGAAACCCUGAUGCAGCGACGCCGCGUGAGCGAAGAAGUAUUUCGGUAUGUAAAGCUCUAUCAGCAGGGAAGAAGAAUGACGGUACCUGACUAAGAAGCACCGGCUAAAUACGUGCCAGCAGCCGCGGUAAUACGUAUGGUGCAAGCGUUAUCCGGAUUUACUGGGUGUAAAGGGAGCGCAGGCGGUGCGGCAAGUCUGAUGUGAAAGCCCGGGGCUCAACCCCGGUACUGCAUUGGAAACUGUCGUACUAGAGUGUCGGAGGGGUAAGUGGAAUUCCUAGUGUAGCGGUGAAAUGCGUAGAUAUUAGGAGGAACACCAGUGGCGAAGGCGGCUUACUGGACGAUAACUGACGCUGAGGCUC
rnacentral:rRNA from 1 species